UGGGGAAUAUUGCACAAUGGGCGCAAGCCUGAUGCAGCCAUGCCGCGUGUGUGAAGAAGGCCUUCGGGUUGUAAAGCACUUUCAGCGGGGAGGAAGGCGAUAAGGUUAAUAACCUUGUCGAUUGACGUUACCCGCAGAAGAAGCACCGGCUAACUCCGUGCCAGCAGCCGCGGUAAUACGGAGGGUGCAAGCGUUAAUCGGAAUUACUGGGCGUAAAGCGCACGCAGGCGGUUUGUUAAGUCAGAUGUGAAAUCCCCGGGCUCAACCUGGGAACUGCAUCUGAUACUGGCAAGCUUGAGUAUCGUAGAGGGGGGUAGAAUUCCAGGUGUAGCGGUGAAAUGCGUAGAGAUCUGGAGGAAUACCGGUGGCGAAGGCGGCCCCCUGGACGAAGACUGACGCUCAGGUGCGAAAGCGUGGGGAGCAAACAGG
rnacentral:rRNA from 1 species